CACGCCGUAAACGAUGAAUACUAGGUGUAGGGGGUAUCGACUCCCCCUGUGCCGCAGCUAACGCAUUAAGUAUUCCACCUGAGUAGUACGGUCGCAAGACUGAAACUCAAAGGAAUUGACGGGGACCCGCACAAGCAGUGGAGUAUGUGGUUUAAUUCGAGGCAACGCGAAGAACCUUACCAAGGCUUGACAUCCCGUGACAAACAUAGAAAUAUGUCUUUCCCUUCGGGGACACGGAGACAGGUGG
rnacentral:rRNA from 1 species